rnacentral:lncRNA from 12 species
GGACAAGCAAGCAGUGAAAAAGAUGGGGGUUAACACAUAAGGUUGCAAGCAAAGGUUUUUUGAGAAAAUCCUACAUUAAAGAAGAAAACAAGAAGGAAUCUAAUAGGCAAAGGCAAAAAUAAGAGGCUGAGUGGAUGCAGGUGUAACACACCUGUUGGAGUCAGUGAGUUAGGGGAUGCUCUGAAUCCCUCAAAGAGGAAUUAAGGUGCAGAGAUUGAGUUAAAGCCUUUGGAAGGAUGGAUUAAAAUAUAUGAAGCUAUUUACACAUAAAGUAGAAGUAAGUCAAUAAGAUUUAGUAGGAGUUGCAGUGUUUUUAGUAAGUAAAAGGCCUCAGAUACCACGGUAGCAGAGAGUGUUCUACUGAAGGUUGUAAACACAUCUUCAGUAGAGGCUCCAGGCCUGUAGUUUUAGUCAGGACUUAGAAACAAUAGUUAUAAUAAGAAUAUUGCUUACAUUUCUUAAAUGAACGGGACAGAUUGCACGCAUAGCUCUAUAUGUAACCUGGUGAGCUAAGAAACUAGAAUUCUAAUAGGUUAAUGAGUAGUGGUCUGAGAUUGCAUCUCAGCUUGUGGGGAAAGGCCUAUAUAAGUGUUAGUACGGGGAGAGUUGGUGCUUUUGCCUUUUCUUACCCCCCUGCUUUGCUGCUGUUGCAUUUACACCCCCUCGUCCCUCAGACAGCCCCAAGGCAGUGCUCCCCCAGCAUUGCCCUCGGGGGUCCACCUUCCCCGGGGCAGUGACCACACUGCUCCUCCUGCGGGCACCCGGCACCCUCACCCUGCUCUGCUCCUCCUGCAGGCACCCGGCACCCUCACCCUGCUCCUCCUGCGGGCACCCGGCACCCUCACCCUGCUCUGCUCCUCCUGCAGGCACCCGGCACCCUCACCCUGCUCCUCCUGCGGGCACCCGGCACCCUCACCCUGCUCUGCUCCUCCUGCAAGCACUCGGCACCCUCACCCUGCUCUGCUCCUCCUGCAAGCACCCGGCACCCUCACCCUGCUCUGCUUCUCCUGCAGGCACCCGGCACCCUCACCCUGCUCUGCUCCUCCUGCAAGCACUCGGCACCCUCACCCUGCUCUGCUCCUCCUGCAAGCACCCGGCACCCUCACCCUGCUCUGCUUCUCCUGCAGGCACCCGGCACCCUCACCCUGCUCUGCUCCUCCUGCAAGCACUCGGCACCCUCACCCUGCUCUGCUCCUCCUGCAAGCACCCGGCACCCUCACCCUGCUCUGCUUCUCCUGCAGGCACCCGGCACCCUCACCCUGCUCUGCUCCUCCUGCAAGCACUCGGCACCCUCACCCUGCUCUGCUCCUCCUGCAAGCACCCGGCACCCUCACCCUGCUCUGCUUCUCCUGCAGGCACCCGGCACCCUCACCCUGCUCUGCUCCUCCUGCAAGCACUCGGCACCCUCACCCUGCUCUGCUCCUCCUGCAAGCACCCGGCACCCUCACCCUGCUCUGCUUCUCCUGCAGGCACCCGGCACCCUCACCCUGCUCUGCUCCUCCUGCAAGCACUCGGCACCCUCACCCUGCUCUGCUCCUCCUGCAAGCACCCGGCACCCUCACCCUGCUCUGCUUCUCCUGCAGGCACCCGGCACCCUCACCCUGCUCUGCUCCUCCUGCAAGCACUCGGCACCCUCACCCUGCUCUGCUCCUCCUGCAAGCACCGGCGCGGCCCGGCCCGCCCCCUACGGCGGCCGCCGGAGGACACGCGGCGCAGCAG